ACAGAAUCGCUCCUCUUAGUACUCUUAUUAGAAGUGUUAUCAUCGAAUAUAAGUUUUUUCAAUAAAUUCUUAUCGUUUUACAAUCUUUCUAGAAUACAAUGACGUCAGCAAUCGAUCAUUUUCGCGAAUUUAUUGUAAAAUAAUUGGGGGAAUAUCUGGAGUUCUUUAUCGGUUUCGACUGUAAAAUCAGCAACUAUUCGAAUUUUUCAUUCAUAAUUGUGACAUUUUCGACUCUUCCGUUCCCAAGACCCUCUUGAGAGAUUUUUGGCACGUUCCAUCACCCUUGUUAAACGAGUGCACAUUGGUGGAUAUAUUGAUUUUAAAAACCAAUACGUGAACGAGGUUUAUUAUCUCACUGGGACAAAGAAAUCCGUUUUAUUCGCGAAUUUUCCGUGUUUCUUCUUAAUUUUCGUGAGUGUCUGGCGCGGAGCAUUAUUUGAAUGAACUUUUCAUCGUUCAGAUUAUAUUUCGUUUAAAAAGAUUGAAAUUGAUGUCGAGAAGAAAUGAAACAAGGUGCUCGGGCAUUCUUUCGUUUCCCGGGGAAAGAGAAAUAUGAAAAAAAACGGUCGUUCUUCCUUCUGCCAUUUUCGUCCAUUACCAAAAUGGCAUGACCCAAGUGUCCCGGGCCGUGAAUCAAUCAAGCGAAUUUUGAAUAAUUUUUGAAUAAUAUCCAGUUAAUAAUUUGUGAAACAAAUUAAUUUCAUUUUAUUGUUGGAAACAAAUUAGUUGGAUUUUUCUUUCUUUAGCAGUUUUUGCCAGAGUUGACCUGACGUGCUACUUCAGUUUCCAUCUUCGCUUCUUGAAACUUCCAACGUCCUUGGUGUUGGAGUCUCCUUGCCCAGGAAGAGAAGCUCGCGACAGAUGUUAUCAAACAAAUCGUUUAUUCUCGAAAAGUUCGAACUUGUUCGUUGCGUUUGAAUAUAUAUGGACGGACGCCAUUUUUCAUGACAUCAUCAUGAUUUGUCAUGUCGUGAGUAUAGCUUCUGACUACCAUAUGUUUGUGAUUUAUGUGAAAUUUGACCACUAUACCGUGAUAGAAUAAUAUUUCCAAUGAAUUAUAAAUAUUUUACAUUGUGAAUUAUAAAUAUUUGUUACAAAUUAUAUCGUACUUGAGAUGAAAAUGAACCAUAUAUCUGCUUAUGGAAUAUGAGGUAGUAAAUCAUUCGAAACAUAAUAACGAUUAAUUAAGCACAUAUACAAUAACGUUUACGAAUGAAUAUUGCGAAUUAUUGUAUGGCUUUAAUGCGGUAUUUAAUGUUUUGAUUGCGGUCUUUGAAAUGGUAUCAUAGGUGCUGAUAUAAUAUCGCGCGAAAAAGGAAAGACCAGUGGUUAAUAUUGCAGGUGCACCAGUGCGUUGCGCUCGUCGAGGGUGGUUUUGACGCUGGUGCCGAGGAAAGGCGCAGAACGUGUUCGAUCGACCCGCGAACGUAGCCUGUGCUCAUACUGCGACAGAGUUCGUUUCAGUUAGGCUCAGUCGCUGUUUGUCCGUCGACAGCGUAUAGUCGCGUCGGCCUACGAUUCCUUUUUUCUUCUUGUUUCUUGCGAACUCUCUCGCAACAGCCGUUCUAUACGUACGCCGCCAGUAUAUCGCGUGAUCAUCGUUCCCGUUGCUCCCCUUACCCUCUCACGUCCUUCGAAGAAGACCUCCCUUUGGUUUUUCCUUGUUUGGAGGGAAUUCAUCGCUCGGACACAUGGACUGCGAAGUACGAGGGUAUUCCAAUUUUUUAAUAUAUAAAUUUAGUUUCCUCUAUGGUGUUAGAGAACAUAACGCGAGCAUUUUAUGAUAUAACGAAUAUAUUCGUAUAUAUUUUAGUUUAUUCAUUCGUCAAAUUUCCCUAGUAGGCCGGCCUGCAGCUCACAUGCAGCACUUAGUAAAAAUUUGUUUUGUUAGAGGUUGGCCAUUCUUCUUGCUAUAAAAAUAUCGUGAAGUCAUAUCAUAUGAUAAAGCACCUUCUGAAAGCUAGAUGCUCGAUAACGAGCCUAAUGAUUCUCGGUAGUUUGUAAUGUCAAGCUUUGAAUUGGCGAGAUCGCUUUGCUGUCAAACCGCCGUCCAGCGGCGACCACAUUCUUUAACCACGUUCAAGGGGUAUAUCACGCUACAGAAACCAUCAAAGGGUUUGCAAGUUAGUUGCCUUUUAGAAGUGGGGCAGUUGGUUGUUACAUGUCAUCCGUAGUUGCUGGCUGUUCUCCUUAGUCGCCAUACAUCGUAGAGACGACGGUUAUAGUCGCCAGUUGUCCUUGCUAAUGGUUGCUUGUUGUCGCUAGUUAGUUCUCGUUAUCGUUAUGUAUUCCAUCAAUCACGCGAAAUUUAACGUAUGGGAUUUUAUUCUUCUUUAUUCUUUCUGUAGGGAGAUUUUU